rnacentral:lncRNA from 10 species
UACACAUUCCGGCGAGAGCGUGGACGCCCUACCCGAGCCUCCAAGGCUCUCUGCCCUCAUUCAGCCCAGUGAGCCUGCCCUUCGUCCAACUCCUUUCACCUUCAAUGACCCGACUGUUGCUCAAACCUGACUGCAUCUCUGGUCUUCCUGACUUGCCCUCUGGUACACUCCAACACAGUGGUCUAUUUCAAUGAACCUUCUAAUGAGGACAAGAACACAGCCUUAGCCUUGCAUGACUAAUAACUACUGACUGCUUACUGAUAAUGCACAACAAUUGUUAAUACGGUGCACUAUGAAAAGAUCCGUAAGACAUGAUCAUAGAGAACAAGAUGACAAUACCUUUUGUUUUCUGGGCAUUUCGUGAUUUGGAUCCACUUGUCAUUGCAGUUGGAAGAGGAAUCUUGCUUGGGAGAUUUCUACGUUGCUUACUUUCCAAAGGGGGAGUAUAUGGUAGUUCUAAUGAACUGAAAGACAAUCAGGGAUGGAAAAUACAAAUUUAUUCCUCUGUUUUGGAGGACAGAAGUCAUUAAGAUUGUAAUUCUUCUACAAUACAACUGCAUGCAGGAAGCUAAUGUGGCUUCCUGGGGCGUUAUCUACCCUUGGUCCUAACUCAGGACUGGCUGCAUGCCCAACGCUGUAGCUAAGACUGCCCAGCAGACAUUCAGCACUUGCAGACUGAACCUUUGCUAUUCCAAGUGCUGACAAUGAACUGAGGUCCAUUAUUUAAUAAUACGUAACGUGAGGGAGGAUCUAUCUCAGAUAAGGCAUAGAAAGAAAGCCCUUAGCUCCAACUUGCUGCUCAGGGCUGGAAGUGCGGUCAUUCUGCCUGUGAGUCUCUCCCAGCAUCUAGACCACCACCAGUGGGAUUCCUGAACAUGAAGAUUUUGAAAGAUCUCACAUCUAUAACAUUAGAGACUCCACUAUUCAAAACUGAACAAAUUUUUCUCAUAGAAAUUAUGAGGUGACCCAGAGCUAAGUUCCUGGUUACUACAGGGAGUGGGCUAGGAUGAAUUUUCUUCCUUAUUCUUGAACUCAGGGUUAAUCUUAAGCAAAAAAAUUAAAUAUAUUUUUUAUUGAUUUAUUUAGAGUGACGCUUUCUGAAAGAUAUUGAGGUAAGCUUAAGAUAAUAAGCAUGUAUAAAUAUAUCUUAAGUUUCCAAAGCUCAAUAAGUGAGGUAGGAAAACCUGCUGGGAGACAGCAGCUGGAAAGAAUGAAUCUCUGAGAGAAAUGAACUGGGUAGCUGGCCCAUGGAAGACAGCAUUGUGAGUAGAAUACCUAUAUGGGCUACAAAGGCAUUCUUUAUGAAGCCACAUCUCUAAUGCCCACCAAGACCAUGUCUGGGACUGGGAGGACCUCCGGAAGGAGCUCAGCUAAUGUGGUCCAAGAAGGACCUUUUCCAGCAAAGGCUGAGAUGCAGCUCAGAGAGCCCAGUGGCCCCUUUGGAGAAAUCUUCCAAGAAUCCUCAGGGAUCUCUACAGAGCUCCUGGUGACAGCUGUCAGUUCAGGGCUGAGCUGAUGGCUAGCUUUUCAUUCCAAAUCUACAAAGUCUACACAGAUGGUGUAAAAUGGAUGCAUCGCCGGCAUUUUCCACAUUUCAGUGUGCUUUCUGCUCCCAACCCUCAAGUGUGUGAUACUACUCAGGACUCCCGGCCCCAUCCUCCAAGUUCUUCACGCACCAUGUUGCCUUCUGUCCUCCCAGCCCACAGGAUACAGUACAUUUCAGCUAGGUUCUGGGUCAGAGGCAAUCUGCUGUGCUCAUUCACAGGAGAUUUCAAAGGUGAGAAGAGUUCCAACUUUCCCGAUCUAACGGCACCAUAACACCCUCAUUCCCCAACAUCCUCAAUGUAAAGUGUGAGCUCAUAAAUAAACAAAUACAUUUAAGAAGGCUAUUUACAAACAUUUUAUAAGGUGGUAGGGUCAAAGGACAUUUUCUUUUGUUUCGUUGUAUUUCACAAGUAGGUAUUAUAUAAUAAUAAGUAGGUAUUAUAUCUGGAAUUAGUAAGAGAGCAAACCAAAAAGCCAAAGGGUUUCCGUUAGCCCAAAUAACUAGAAUUUUAGGUAGGAUAACAAACUGAAGUGAAAAAUCCACUGUUUAUGGGCCAGAUGAUGAAUGCUACAUUAUAAAAUCUUUUGUAUCUCUUCUACUUCUGACUGACAGGGUUAUUUAAAAAACCCAUCUUCUAAAAAAACCCCAAAGGCUCCCAUAGUAGACACCAGCCCUCUGGUGGUGGAGGUGGUGUGGGUGUGAUCUAUUUUUAAGUGUGCGUGGGUAGCUAUUUAUACAAAACUAAAUUCUGUGCCACUGUAAAAGUAAUUGGUUUUUAAGAAGAAAGGUGCCAGACAACUCCUGUUAUUUUUGCUGAUUCAUACUUUCCUAAAUUAAGCCAGAUGAUCUCUAUCAAGAAUCCUUUUUUAAGGCUUCUGAAUAAAAUGGGUAACGGCCAACUUAAUUGAAGCGAUUCAUUUUUUUGAGACAGAGUCUCACUCUGUCACCCAGGCUGGAGUGCAGUGGCACGAUCUUGGCUCACUGUAACCUCUGCCUCCCAGGCUCAAGCAAUUCUCCUGCCUCAGCCUCCUGAGUAGCUGGGAUUACAGGUGUGUGCCACCAUGCUUGGUUAAUUUUUGUAUUUUUAACAGAGAUGGGGUUUCACGAUGUUGGUGAGGCUGGUCUCGAAGUCCUGACCUCCGGUGAUCUGCCGUCCUUGGCCUCCCAAAGUGCUGGGAUUACAGUGGGAUUACAGGUGUGAGCCACCGUGCCCAGACUGAAGUGAUUCUUUUUAAAAAGGAAAAACAGGUGGUUCAGAUGCCAGGCUUUAUUUAUUUAUUUACUGACAGGGUCUCAGUCUGUUGCUCAGGCUAGAGUGCAGUGGUGCAAUCACGGCUCUCUGCAGUCUCUAACUCCUGGGCUCAACUCCUGAGUCUCUAACUCCUGGGCUCUAUGCAGUCUCUAACUCCUGCCUCAGCCUCCCUAGUAGUUGGGACUACAGGUGUGUGCCAUCACACCUGGCUAAUUUAAAAGAAAAACUUUUUGUAAGAUAAGGUCUUGCUAUAUUUUCCAGGCUGAUCUUGAACUCCUGGGCUCAAGCAAUCCUCCUGCCUUGACCUCCCAAAGUGCUGGGAUUAUAGAUGUGAGCUACCACACCUGGCUUAUUUUUAUAAUAUAUUUUCCUCCAUUUUUUAAUAAUAAUGUUUUUCUUUUUCUUAAUAUUCUGAGAUUUCGUAUUCUUUUUAUUUUUGCUUUUCACAACGUUACACCUGACUCAAGCCUGGCCUAUUUUUAUUCCUGUAAUACACAGUACACAUUUCUGUCUGGGGAGGAGAGAGGCAGAGCUGAGGACACAGCUAGGGACAUGACCAGCUGUGGAGCAGGGUUUUCUGAGUGCUGACAGGUCUGGGGCUGGCGUGUGCAGUGUGGUGUUCACAGCCCUUGGGCCUGAGUUGAGAGUGUUAUUUAAGCAGAUUUUUACAGAUAAUAUGAUUAAUCUACUUCUUUUGCUUAUUUUAGAUUAUUACAUUUAUGUAAACAUAUACUGUUGAUAAACAAAUAGAAAAACAAAAGGAUCAGUGAAUACUCAGGGUCCUAAACCAGGGAUGCCCUGGGCCCUUCCUGGUUCUGCAGAAACCUUCAGUGCCUGAGAUCUGAUUCCCAUUCCUUGGCAUCUCUGCCAUAGACUACAGUUUUCCGGAGGUCUGCAGGCCCAUUUCUAUGUUGCCACAGCUGGAAAACACGGUUAGAUCAGAUUUCUGUUGCUGCAGCCCCACCCUCCUAUUUCCUAGCAAGUGAUUUUUUUGAGGUCAACUCUUGGGAGUGUGGAUGGAUGGGGCUGAGCCACUCCUCUGGCUUUAUCACCUCUCACAAAGCUUCCGAAAGACAGCAAUGAUAUAUGCCUUAUUAAUGACAUAUCUUAUUAAAAGAUGUGUACCUGUCCUUCAGACAUGUGGGGUUAUAUAUUAACACACUAAAAGGUGACAGGAAUUUCAGGAAUCACUAAAGCUAGUACUGGCUGUGAUUCUGAGUGACAGUGUUUGACAUUUAUUAUCAGAAUGCAGUGGAGUCACAGAAUGGCUCUGUUCAGAAAGCCAACCUUCUCCGGUUAUUAAAAAAACCAGUCUUUAUUUGAUUAAAUGAUUGAUGAACUAAUAAAUUCUGACUCAAUACUUUCAUCCUCGAGUUCAGAAAAACAAGAGAUCAGUGAGUUUAAAGAGAUCAGAUAAAGGAGGAUAGAAGAAAGGUUGCAUAUAGAUUUCUCCAGUUACAAAAGACAGUUUCAAGCACACGGCUUGAUUUGUGUUCUGGUAAUGAUUUAUCUUUUAACUACAUAUUGAGAGAGCACCGGUUAUUGCUAUAACUGCCCCUUGACUAGGCGGUUCAGGACUGACCACUCUAAGCUUUUUGGUUUACAAGAGAACUAAAAACCCUUGCAAAGGUAAUGACACUCAAGCGACGUCUUUGACUAACUUUUCAAAUGCAAAUUUGCUGAUGGUCAACUUGUAAAAAAAAUCAGAAUACAAUGUAAGUCAGUGGAACAGGGAUGGGGGUUAGGAUUAGUGUGUUCUAUCUGCUUAACAAUACUAAGCUCAGGCCUGAGGGCUAAUCAACAGGGCCAAUUUGGUGACAGUCACCUAUGGAAUGGUACCUCUAAGAUAAUUCUUAGAUGCACUGGUUUUAAAAUUUAUCAUCAUAGGAAUUACUGCAUGUCUGUCUACCUCACAAGAUUUCUGCAAAUGUAAAAAUGAGGAUUUUCAUUAUUUGGACUUAUUAGCCUCAUUUACUUUAAAAUAUCUGAUCACUCACCUAAGCCUGAAAAAGGCCAAGAAGAAGAAUCUCUAGCUAGUAGCCCAGUGUUAUUCCUGUCCUGGGUGCCAGGAUAUUGGUGUCUCAGGUGGAUUUCUCUCAGGAGAGAUCCAAGUAUGUGAACCUCCUCUUCAGAAGAGGUGGUCUCCUUUUCUCUCUCCCCUUCAAAUGAUCAACCACCUGAUACCACUCUGCUUGACGUUCCUUCUACCUGGGCCAGACUGCUCUCAACAAAUUGUGGGACCUGGUCACUUGAACUAACAAUUGCCACAAAAGAGUAAAUUUUAGGUACAAAUACUUCAUUACUAAGCACCACCAUAUACUGUAUUAUUUCAUAAAUUCAGGGACAAGGUUAAAUUUUACUGCAGUUAUCACUAAUUUCUUACUAGCUUUUGGGUUCUAUAGAACAGGACUGGCCCUGCCUGAAGCCAUAUAAUCUAGGGACAGAGUCUAGGUUAGUGGUGUUUUUGCAAAACUCAAGUAUGAUUCCCAGGAUCAGAGUAAGAAUAGACCUUCCACAAAUCUAUGGCCCACACUUAUGAUGACAGACAAGCCAUGUCUUCCUUUUAAAUUUACACCUAAUUUAUUCGACUUCCUCUGUCACUUUCUACUGAUCACAACCCACAAGCGGGUAGACAGCAGCUCCCGUGCUGAUGACAGUUCUAUACAAUGAACCAGGAAAGGUAUUACUGAUGCACCAACACUAAAAUUAUCAGGUAGAUGCUGAGCCAAGGUUUAAUGAAAAUGUGAAGUAACUUCAGUUAAUAACCCAACAGUUCAACUCACUCAUCUCCCUGGGGAAACAGCCUGCACAAGCCCUCCCCGGGGGCCACUGAAUCCCAUUCCAUGGGGAGGAACUGGAGUUAUUUAAUGGUAGAACCGUCUGACUGGUGACACCUGCUCUGAACCAUUUUUAAGGUAAGAAUAAACUUUUCCAAGUUUUAUGGCAUGGAACUCUAGAUCCCAACUGGGUUAACAAUUCGACAGACUCAGAGAUCUUUUGGAGGAAAGUUAUGCUUGUACCUGUGGUUCAAUCGUCAAGGUCAUCUUUGUGCAGAAGUAAAAUGGAUCUCAGCCUGGGACUGAAUCACCAACAGAAAUUUUCCUCCUAAAUUUUUAUAACAGAUCGUGAGCUCUGCCCUCUGCAUAUCUGACUUGAGAAGCAUAUGGCUAUUCCGAGUCAACAACAGUACAUAUCAGGUGACAGAAAAAUCCCAAGAGGAAUGUGACGUAGCACCUGGAUUUUGCUAUCAACUCCCCUAAAAGCCAACCAGCCAGCCAAAUGGCCAAAUCAAAACAGCACCUGGUUUUCGCCAGCAACUUCUUUAUAGACCUUAUUUCUCUGUACACUUAUUUCUCUCACCUGGGUUUCACAUCUGUUGGGAUUUCUUUCUUAAUAUUUAAGAGUUUUUUGCUUUUUUGCUUCACUUGAGACAUUUCACUUUCAUGUUUUUCAGGCAUGGCUUGUUUUCCCUUUUGCUUUUCUGUAUCCUGUAAAAAAUGGACACUUAAUUGCUGAGAAGGAUUAAUAAAAUGACUGAAAUUAGUUCCAUUUUAAGAUACAGACACAAAAUCAAAGAUGUAAAAAUAUACACAUCAUAUACGUAAAAACAAACUCGUUUCUUCAAAUCUGUCUUCACUGCGGUUCUGUCAAUUUUUUGGCCUUCUUUAAUUUGUCUCAGCUGUGUGCGGUGGCGCAUGCCUGUAAUCCCAGCACUCUGGGAAGCCGAGGCAGGUGGAUUGCCUGAGCUCAGAAGUUCAAGACUAGUCUGGGCAACAUGGUAAAACCCUGUCUCUACUAAAAAUACAAAAAACUAGCUGGGCGUGGUGGCGCAUGCCUGUAAUCCCAGCUACUUGGGAGGCUGAGGCAUGAGAAUCGCUUGAACUGGGGAGGCAGGGGUUGCAGUGAGCUGAGAUCAUGCCACUAAACUCAGCCUGGGCGACAGAGCGAGACGCCAUCUCAAAAAAUAAAGUAAAAUUUGUCUCGACUACGUUUUGGUGAGUUGGAGUUAUAAAGAACGUCAUUUUAAUUUAUACUCAUAUCCUGACUGGAGAUGGUGGUGGCAGUGGCAGUAGCAAAUUGGUAGCUUCUUUUCAAGCACUGGGGAGUAAAACACUGUAUUUCCUUAAAAGAAAAGUUCAGUAGAGACUGCAGUAUAAAGUCAAGCACUCCAGCCAUGCACCCCAUCCUGAGCACAACUCUCAGGACAAGAGAGCAGUGCGGCAGCCAAAGGGGCCAUGCUCGCCUGCCUGCGAUUGCGGCAGGGUUCCGGCUGGUUUAAUGCUAAGCUAACAGCUGCUCCAUCAAUGGGAGGGGCUGUUUGUCCAGUUCAUCCACACACAUUUACGGGUCACCCGCUUGGUGCCAGGCCAUAGGAUUACCAAGAGGGCCCAGUUUCUCCUCCUAAGGAUGGUGAAGUCUAGCAGGAGGGAGACACACGACAGACGCCAGCAUGGACCUCUGCUGGGGGAAUGUUACUGGCCACUGCAGCAGCACAGAAGGGCUGUCCUGCCCGCUAAAAUGUGGAAUCUGGAGUGGGCGGCCACAUCCAAGACGCAUCUUAAAGCUGUGCUACCCAGCUGGCCCAGCCAGGACCAGGAAAGUACAGAACCUGCCCCACGGAUUUCUGUGGCAAUCUGACUUCAUUGCAGCAUCUGAGUGUGAGAUCAGUGGACCUGUCUCCCCAACAGGGUACACAUCUACUCAUGUAUUAUGUGUGGUUUUUUUUUUUUUGAGACAAGGUACUCACUCUGUCACCCCUGGGCUCAAGUGAUCCUCUCACCUCAGCCUCCUGAGUAGCUAGGACUACAGGCACAUGCCACCACACCCAGCUAAUUCUUGUAUUUUUUUGUAGAAAUGGGGUUUCACCAUGUUGCCCAGGCUGCACUCAGGUAUUGCUGAACUCGCCUGGGGAGCUGCAUGUGGAGUGGGCUGUGUACUAAAAGCAACCUGGUUCUUUGCCCCAGACAAUCUGUGAAAUACUGUGUUUACGGAAGCACUGGCAGGGACAGAUGGGGAAGGACGUACUCAGCAAAGGGGACAGUGAUGGCUGUGGAGGGGAGCUAUAGGCAUGUGGUGAAUUAGCAUCUACCCAAGAGCUUUAAAAUUUAUGAUUAUGAAGACAGCCUGGAUUUUAAUAGGUCACACCAGGUGAAUCUAUUUAACUGUCAAGAGUAAAUAACCAGAGCUAGGGCUAAAACAUCUCCCUGGCUCACAUAUCGUUUGAAACUACUUUGAGUUAUUCAUGAAGUCUUUCUUGAAUACUUGACCCAUCAGGUAUCUUGUAAACCAUGAGCUUUUCGAGGACAAGGAUGUGGCCUUUUGUCCACUGUUGUUGCCUACGCACCUAGCACGUGGCCUGGCACGUGGGUGCUCAAUUCCUAUGUGUUGACUGAAUGGGUAGAACAGAAUUGGAGAAGACAUGCAAGAGAAAAUGACCUAUCAAAGUUGUGAUUUAGCUGGGAAGAAAAUACACAUUAACUGACAAACUGAGAUCAGUUGCAGAGAAAUAAAAGCACACGGCCUCUAUGCAGAUUGCUGAGCAGGAGGAAUAACUCGUUGGAGGGGACAGGGUAGUAACCAGACAAGGAGGCCUCAUGAAGGAUGUGAGUUCUGAGCUGCACAAAUAGCACGGAAGAAGCUGGGAACACAGGAGGGAAUGAACAGGGAGCUAAGAAUGACAUCAGUGGGUGAGCACAGAACACUGGCCACUGGGGGCCGCUGGAGAGGGGGCCACAGUGGUGUGAGCAGGAAGAGGCUGGCAGGUGGGAAGGGAAGUGGGAGAAAGUCGUGCAGAAAAUGCCUUCCGAACGCUGAUGCACAGGGUUUAAACUGCUGGGAUUUUACUCAAAGUUUAGCACAGGGCUUUCUGUUUCUCUGAAGUAAUUUGUUAAAGUGCUAUAAACUACAGAGCUCCAGAACUAUUUAGGAGUUGGGCUAGGGGUAGAUGGAGGACCACGGUAACGGUGAGGGAAUGCAAAGGGAAAGGUGGCUAACUUGAAAGUAAGUUACAUAUACAUUUCAUUUUAAACAUUUUAAUGCAUGUGAAUGACACUGCUGGAAAUCUGUAAGAAGUGAUUCCUUGGUCAAUAGACUAAAACUAAAAAAGAAAGUCUGUUCUACAACAUUAAAGGCUAUAUUAGGAUCAGUUUAGAUUUGAAAUCCAUUUAUCUAAAAAUAAAAGCGCCAGAGUGGAAUUAUUACCCUUUCUUGCACACCCCAUACUACUCACAGCAGUAAUCUGACCCCGUCACUAAGGCCCACUGGACCCGACACUUUGCACUGCUCUUCCUGCUGUGAUAACAGCCCUGGGAGCCGAGGCCUCCAACGGGCGAGGCAGCUUCUUGGCGUGCUGAUGUGUCCUGGGCUGGGCUCCUCGUCCCUGGGGGCCACUAAAGCCUGGGGUCUUUCCUGGGGCCACACUCCCUCCAGGGCGGUCACCACUCUACUGCUUGGGAGUAAGCGGCCACCAAAACCCCGCUUCCAGCAGGUGCUAGGAGCAACAUGACAGGAAAAACACAACCUAAUUAAAAUGGUAGAGUUCCUUCUCAUUCUUUUGAUCCUUAAAAUCUGAAAGAAGUUUCAUGAGGUAGAAUAGUUACUAUUCCAGAUAGUCCCUAGCUUUCAAGCAGUGUUUCCAGUUUCUAACCAUCUUACUUUAGUAACAUGCUUCCAGCUGUUCUUCCCUGGAGGACAUGGAGCCAUUCAUCCCCACAGCUGUGACUGUUGUCUGCAGGGGAAUGACUCUGGAGGCACGCCCAGCACAGGAACCAUUCCUCAGUAGGUGCUCAUCCUAGAUUUAAACAUUACUUUUGUACUAAAACCAGAAUCUAUGAGAUGGAAGGUCUUGUGA